ensembl:lncRNA
CAGAAACUGUCUGCUCUGAAGCAAGUCUCAUUGGCUGUCUGUCCUUAAAAGGCAGAUAUGCUUUUUUUCUUUCACAAACAGUCAGUACAAUUACAGCACCUUCCAUUCUCUCUGAACUGUGGCACCCAAGGCCCUUUGUGGUCCAGCUCCCACUCCUGAGUACUCGAGGCUUUACUCGCCAACUGAACAGCAGUGGCACCAGGUUGCACCAAGGGGUGUAUCAGUCAAUCUCCAUGUCCUAUCAAAUGGACUCAAUUGUCCAGUGGCAGAUGUGAGGGGAAUAAAACGAGAACAGGACAAGCAAACAGUAGUAUGUCCCCAGCACCAUUCUCUCAUCCUCCAGUUCCUUCCAGCUCAAGGAUUUCCUGAACCUGAGGUUUGUUCCUGAAGGUCAGAACUAUAUCGUGCUCUUCAGUGAUGACCCCAUCAUACUUGAAGUUAUUGUGAGAAAGAAUACAACAAAGUGAUACUUCCUGUUGCAAGGAAGCAGCAAAUCCGUUCCACUUUGGAGAUAAUGAUACUGACCAGGCUAUUGUUGGUGGGUACUGUGAUUUUGUGAAAGCCUAGAUAGCAAGUGGAUAUAGCAGUUUGUUAUGUCUGCUAAGUAUUGCAAUAAGGUCCUGGCCCAAGCUUGUCCACUUGUGUACCGAAAUUAUGACAGAUUCAAGGAGCACAGUAACAUUAUUUGAUAAGUUCUCAGCUACAAAACAGGAUGUUCCAACAUAGUCACCAUUAUCAGCUAUGCAUUUUCACCAGUGAUGAACAAGACUCUGCAUGCUGCACUCAUAAAAAUCUGCAGCAGUGGAUGUGACAUGCUUCAGACAUGCUUAAAGAGAUGCCAGUAAAUGCCAGCAUGUUGAAAUCAAUAGUGGGAUAUGGAGAUUUUCCAGCGUGCCACACCUGGCCCAGACAGAGCGGGGAGUGGUGCCUUUGUUGCCAUGUGCAAGCACUGACCACCUUUUGCAGUGGUCAGCUUCUUCAAGCUGCGCCCCUGAAAAAGUCUGCUUGUCCUGCUUCUUCUUAUCUUUACAAUCAUAAGCACAUGGUGCUGGGCGCAUGGGGGAUCGUUCCACCAACAUGCACACUGAGAGAAGCAGAGACUACGUGUAAAAAGUUUUCAUUGAAACAAAUAGAAGACAUUAUUUUCAGAUGACCUAUGUUUAAUUUUCUGCUGGCACCCUAAUACAGACUUCUCCAUAACAACUUAAUCCUUCUUACUUUGGAAACUGAUAAGCAGAUAUGAGGAACAGAAAUAAUUGCAGUUCUGAUCUUGAAUAGAACCAAAAAUCAUUGUGCAAAUGUUCAUGAAGUUCCCACAUUCAGCCUCACCAGCUUCUGAAGACUGGGGAAGAUUGUAGGCUUUCUUUAUUGGAUGGAACUUCCUCAUCACAUAUUCAGAAGUUUGUCUGUGUUAAUAUGCAUGGUAUUUUUUUUAACUUCCAACAGCCCAAAUCUCUUUUGUUGACAACCUAUUUAGUGCUUUUUUUUUUUUUUUUUAACUUGCAUUUGUUCAAGUGCUUUGGAUAGGAUUAUUGAAUAAGCCUUAGAAUAAGUCAUAAUGUGUUUAGUGAUGGAAAACCAGGUACAGUGUCAUUUCCUUUGUUCAUAAUGAUGCCUGCAUUUUCAUUACAGAAAUACUCAUUGUCUUUAUCUCUUUCAGCUGUGUUAACUAUUAAAACAGUUUCUUUGAUCUACAUUAUUUUGUCUCUUGUACAUUUAUAGAUCCUUUGCCAUGACAAACAAUUUCUUGACAGUGACAAGGAACUUUGCUUAUGUCUAAUAGGAUGUUCUAUACACAGGCUAGAUGGUAUGCCUCAUACGUUGUGUAUUGACUUGUUUUAAAAACAAGUAAAUGAGAUUUGACAAAGAAUGUGAGAAAAUGUACUUUGGAAGAAUGAAAGAAAUGAAGUUAGCAUCGUGUCUUCAUAAAUCUUAGACUCUCUGUAUUCAAAUGCAAUCACUUGCCCCAGUAAAGGAAAUGUAUUAUUCAUGGCCUCAUACAUCUUGUAAAAUGAUGUGAUUGGUUUUUUCUACAUUCUCUGACAAGAUCUUAUGCAGAAGUACGAAUAAAUAAAAUAAUGGUGCAUAAAAGGUUUAAGUAGUCACAGCUAAUUUUAUCA